UUUCAAUCAACAGAAAAGAAGGGGAAAAAAAAUGAAAACUACAUUUUCAAUCUCAGUCAUGCUCUUACUUUUGCUCUUCAUGAUCACCACAGGUAAUUAAACUUUUCAAAUCUGAGUUUCUGUAAUUUCACUAAGAUUACUAAGUUUUUUUUUUUAUUUAAUUGAAAUGGUUGAAAUUAAUACCUACAACAUUGUAUUGCUUCCUUGGUCGAGUAUUAUAGAAAUUAAACUUUUGUAUUGAGAAACAAUUAUACUUAUUCGAUAACUAUUCAUCAUAUCAUUUCAUAAAGCUCAUAUUGAUUACAGUGAGAAAAAAAACCAGUACAAACGUAUUUGAACACAAAAAGGAAAAACAAAUAUUUACAUUUAGGGCUUAUAAAUUAAAACAUUGUCACACAUGUCUAUCUAAGAUUAAUUCUUUUUUUCAAGGUGGAUGUUUGCAUGUUUCAAAGACUAGCUAGAUUUAAUGUCUAAUUGGAGUUAUGAAAUCUAAAUUCCAUAAUAAAACAGUUUAAAUGCAUUAAUUAUUGGUCUAAUCCGAAAUUUAUAUAUGUAUACAUCAUACAUUUAAAGCCUUGAAGAAUUCAUCUGAAUACGUUCAUCUACUUUUUUUUUUUUUUUAAACAAUUAUUAUGAUCGUAAGUUGUGGAAAUUAAUUUUGAAUGUUUAUUUAUUUAUUUAUUUUGGGUUGGCUGAAGGCAAUUAUGAGCUAAUUGUGGUGAAUGCUGACUGUGAACAAUUUUUGGUCGCUGGACGGAAAGGUUGUGUGGAUGAGAAUUGCUACCAUGAUUGUGAGGCGAUGUUUGGAUCAAAUGUUAAAGGGAAAUGCACCGCAUUCUCUCUUUACUGUCGUUGUACUUACCCUUGUUAAUUAGAGUGCAGCGUGAACUAAUUAAUUAUUAAAGUAUUAAAUAAGAUAAUAUCAUGGAACUUAAUUAAUAU
rnacentral:lncRNA from 1 species